CGGCAACAGCUCAAAUUUGAAAUCUGGCUCUUUCAGGGUCCGAGUUGUAAUUUGUAGAAGAUGCUUCGGGUGUAGCACCGGUCUAAGUUCCUUGGAAUAGGACAUCAGAGAGGGUGAGAAUCCCGUCUGUGA
rnacentral:rRNA from 1 species